CUUGGAGGAGUAUUUGAUUGGGCUAAUGAAUCUCCACUUGUCGUAGCCGCUUUAUUAAAGGAUUGUCUUCGACUGAUCCCCAGUACUAUUUUUACGAAACAACUGUACUGUAAGUGGAUUAGUGUUCUUGACAAACAGGAUGAAGAGAAAGCCACGGAGAUCAAGAGGCUCUUACAAAAUCUGCCUGUAUGUAAUCUGGAUAUACUCAAGGAAUUGUGCUCUUGUUUAUAUGAGAUCUCUGCGAAUGCCUGUUUCAAUAUGAUGAAUGCAUCAGAGUUAGCAGUUUCAAUCACACCAAGCAUAUUUUACCUUUGGGAAUCAACAUCAACGAACUCAUCCCUGGAAACUGAAUUACUUAAAAAGAUGUCUAUUGUAGAGUUUUUUAUCGAAAACUAUCCCCGGUUAUUUGAGGACCAGAAUGAAUCGUCACUUAGGAACAGU